rnacentral:rRNA from 1 species
CAGCAGCCGCGGGAACACGUGGGCGGCAAGCGUUGUCCGGAAUUAUUGGGCGUAAAGGGAGCGCAGGUGGGUCGGUAAGUCCGUCUUAAAAGGCAGGGGCUCAGCCCCUGUAAGGGAUGGAAACUAUCGAUCUUGAGUGCCGGAGAGGAAAGCGGAAUUCCCAGUGUAGCGGUGAAAUGCGUAGAUAUUGGGAAGAACACCAGUGGCGAAGGCGGCUUUCUGGACGGCAACUGACACUGAGGCUCGAAAGCCAGGGGAGCGAACGGGAUUAGAUACCCGGGUAGUCCCUGUCUCUUAUACC